rnacentral:rRNA from 1 species
GUAGGGAAUAUUGCGCAAUGGGGGAAACCCUGACGCAGCGACGCCGCGUGAGUGAUGAAGGCCUUCGGGUCGUAAAGCUCUGUUGCAGGGGAAUAAAAAAAUGAAGGUACCCUGUGAGGAAGGAUCGGCUAACUUCGUGCCAGCAGCCGCGGUAAGACGAGGGAUCCUAGCGUUGCCCGGAAUCAUUGGGCGUAAAGAGGGCGUAGGUGGCUUGGUAAGUCAGGUGUGAAAGCCCCGGGCUCAACCCUGGAAGUGCAUUUGAUACUGCUGAGCUUGAGUGUCGGAGAGGUUACCGGAAUACCUGGUGUAGUGGUGAAAUACGUAGAUAUCAGGUGGAACACCGGAGGCGAAGGCGGGUAACUGGACGAACACUGACACUGAGGCCCGAAAGCGUGGGGAUCAAACAGGAUUAGAAACCCGAGUAGUCC